rnacentral:rRNA from 1 species
UGAGGAAUAUUGGUCAAUGGGCGCAAGCCUGAACCAGCCAUCCCGCGUGCAGGAAGACGGCCCUAUGGGUUGUAAACUGCUUUUCCAGGGAGAGAAACCUGCGCACGUGUUGCGCAAUUGACGGUACCCUGGGAAUAAGCAUCGGCUAACUCCGUGCCAGCAGCCGCGGUAAUACGGAGGAUGCAAGCGUUAUCCGGAUUCAUUGGGUUUAAAGGGUGCGUAGGCGGACUAUUAAGUCAGUGGUGAAAGCCUGCAGCUUAACUGCAGAACUGCCAUUGAUACUGAUAGUCUUGAGUUUGAUGAAGGUAGGCGGAAUGUGUAAUGUAGCGGUGAAAUGCUUAGAUAUUACACAGAACACCAAUAGCGUAGGCAGCUUACUGAGCCGACACUGACGCUGAGGCACGAAAGCGUGGGGAUCGAA